UAUAUUCUAGUAUAAGAUGUAUAAAAAUUUUUGAAAUUUUAGGUGAAAAUUAAAAUUUUUCGAAUAUAU
rnacentral:tRNA from 1 species